CCUACGGGAGGCAGCAGUGGGGAAUCUUGCGCAAUGGGCGAAAGCCUGACGCAGCAACGCCGCGUGCGGGAAGAAGGCUUUCGGGCUGUAAACCGCUUUCAGCAGGAACGAAAAUGACGGUACCUGCAGAAGAAGGAGCGGCCAACUAUGUGCCAGCAGCCGCGGUGAUACAUAGGCUUCAAGCGUUGUCCGGAUUUAUUGGGCGUAAAGAGUUCGUAGGCGGUCGAGUAAGUCGGGUGUGAAAAUUCUGGGCUCAACCCAGAGACGCCACCCGAUACUGCUUGACUUGAGUUCGAUAGGGGAGUGGGGAAUUCCUAGUGUAGCGGUGAAAUGCGCAGAUAUUAGGAGGAACACCGGUGGCGAAGGCGCCACUCUGGAUCGAUACUGACGCUGAGGAACGAAAGCAUGGGUAGCAAACAGGAUUAGAUACCCUGGUAGUCCAUGCCGUAAACGGUGGGCACUAGGUGUGGGUUUCUAUUAACGAAAUCCGCGCCGUCGCUAACGCAUUAAGUGCCCCGCCUGGGGNGUACGGUCGCGAGACGUAAACGUUAAAGGAAGUUAGUAACGGUCGUGAGACGUGCCGAGGACGACGACGAGGGAGGUUAGG
rnacentral:rRNA from 1 species